CUACGGGACGCAGCAGUCGAGGAAAUUUUACAAUGCUCGCAAGAGUGAUAGAAUGAGUCAGAGUGUUUCUCUUAGAGAAACUUUUUUCUGUUGUAAAAAGACAGAGGAAUAAGGACUGGGAAAGACCGGUGCCAGCCGCCGCGGUAAUACCGGCGGUCCAAGUCGCAUCCACAUUUAUUGGGUCUAAAACAUCCGUAGCUUGUUUUAUAAGUUUCUUGUGAAAUCCUACAUCUCAAGUGUAGGGCGUGCAAGAAAUACUAUAUUUACUAGAGACCGGAAGGCGUAAAGAGUAUGGUUGAGGUAGCGGUAAAAUGCGUUAAUCUCAAUUAGACUAACAAUUAGCGAAGGCACUUUACGAGUACGGAUCUGACAGUGAGGAAUGAAGGCCAGGGGCGCAAAAGGGAUUAGAUACCCCCGUAGUC
rnacentral:rRNA from 1 species